rnacentral:rRNA from 1 species
CCUACGGGAGGCUGCAGUGGGGAAUAUUGGACAAUGGGGGCAACCCUGAUCCAGCCAUGCCGCGUGUGUGAAGAAGGCCCUCGGUUUGUAAAGCACUUUCAGUGAGGAAGAACGCCUGGUGGUUAAUACACAUCAGGAAAGACAUCUCUCACAGAAGAAGCACCGGCUAACUCCGUGCCAGCAGCCGCGGUAAUACGGAGGGUGCGAGCGUUAAUCGGAAUUACUGGGCGUAAAGCGCGCGUAGGUGGCUUGAUAAGCCGGUUGUGAAAGCCCCGGGCUCAACCUGGGAACGGCAUCCGGAACUGUCAAGCUAGAGUGCAGGAGAGGAAGGUAGAAUUCCCGGUGUAGCGGUGAAAUGCGUAGAGAUCGGGAGGAAUACCAGUGGCGAAGGCGGCCUUCUGGACUGACACUGACACUGAGGUGCGAAAGCGUGGGUAGCAAACAGGAUUAGAUACCCGAGUAGUC